rnacentral:lncRNA from 1 species
CUUCAAAAUGUUUCAUCAAUCUUAAAAAAAUAAUUUUAGACAUCUUUAAUUUUUCAUUUAAAUUAUAAUAAAUGAGAAUUUAGUGUAUGACAGCCAUUUGUGCAUUAUGACAUUCAGAUCAACAUCAGUUAAAAUUGGGAUAAGACAAUCUCUGCAAAUUCUUUUUCAAAUAAGUCUUCAAAAACUAGUUAAAAAAAUAAUAGAAUAACAAAUCACUUACAGGGGC